rnacentral:rRNA from 1 species
UACGAAGGGGGCUAGCGUUGCUCGGAAUCACUGGGCGUAAAGGGUGCGUAGGCGGGUCUUUAAGUCAGGGGGGAAAUCCUGGAGCUCAACUCCAGAACUGCCUUUGAUACUGAAGAUCUUGAGUUCGGGAGAGGUGAGUGGAACUGCGAGUGUAGAGGUGAAAUUCGUAGAUAUUCGCAAGAACACCAGUGGCGAAGGCGGCUCACUGACCCGAAACUGACGCUGAGGCACGAAAGCGUGGGGAGCAAACAGG